rnacentral:lncRNA from 1 species
AUGGCUGAAGGAGCCAAGCCGGCCACCGCCGCCGGCCGGUCCAGUGAGGCGGCAGAACCAUGGACAAGUUCUCUCAGAUCCAAAGCUGUGGCGCUCCUCUGGAAACUGAAGAUGUCCGUGGAGCUGCUGGUUGCCCUGGCUGCUCUCCUGUCCUGGGUGGUUGUGGGAGUAGUGAUGUUUGACUUUGUAGAGUACAAAGCAGUCCCUGAUGUUCAGCAAAUUAUUACUGACCCCGUUCAAGCAGUGCAUGACGCUGUUGAUGAAGUAUCCAGCCUGCUCAAUAAGUUUCAAGAAUGUACUCCUGAUCUGAGUGACCCCAUGUCUGCUGCCACGUAUGCAGCCGAGGAAAUAACAACAGCAAAGGAUGGGUUUGUGCGCCACUUUUCAGAUGAUGACGGAAAAUUCUACCUCAGCUACAUCGACCCAGUCACCAUCGGCAGACAAGCUUUUCAUUCAACCAACGACUUCAUGAACGGAGCUGUGGCUUCACUCAGAGACACAAUUUGUGCUGCAGCAGAUAGGACAUUGGAUACAGCCCUGGAUAUAAAUAAAGGAAACAUAGAUCUGAGUUACAUUGACCCUGUGGUAAUAGGCAGAGGUGUCUUCAGUCUGACUAAUGACCUCAUGAAUGGAGUUGUGGAAAACAUCCAGAAGGUGCUGUGCUGCAUUCGGGACACUGUGCUGGAUCUAAUUCAAGGUUCUUGCUCUUUUGAUCAAGCCUUAGUCACAACUGAUCCUUACGGGUGGAAACAGGCUGUCUACAAAAGCUUGUACACGACCGCACAAAACACUAAGAUCGUAGAAAGCUCGGUGAGCCCGUAG